AGCGCAGACGGUUGAUUAAGUCUGAUGUGAAGGCCCGGAGCUCAACUCCGGAAUGGCAUUGGAAACUGGUUAACUUGAGUGCAGUAGAGGUAAGUGGAACUCCAUGUGUAGCGGUGGAAUGCGUAGAUAUAUGGAAGAACACCAGUGGCGAAGGCGGCUUACUGGACUGUAACUGACGUUGAGGCUCGAAAGUGUGGGUAGCAAACA
rnacentral:rRNA from 1 species